CGCAUUGUGCACCGCUUCAAUAAAAGACAUGGGCAACAGAGGCAAGCUGCUGUUUUGCCUUGUGAGCUGCAGCCCUUUGCUCAUCCACUUAACUGCAUUCUUGUGGUCUGACUCUUCUUCACAUCUGGAACGACUCCAACAAGUGGCACCCAAACAGGGACUUGAAGGUGAUUCCAAAUUCUGGGUUCCCACAAAGAACAUCAAACUUCAAUAUGAACAACAAGAGGAAGUUUGUCACCCUGGGUCUGAAUGAGGAUAUGCAACCUUUGCAUAUUGGCAGACCUUCAGAAUUCCAUUAACCCAUACAUGAACAGCUACAGUCCCGACAUGGGGUCAACUAAAGAAGUUGACUAAUGAAGGACAACACGUAGUGCAACAAUCUGGUCAGCCUCUGAAUGCCACUACACUGUUUCUUGCUAUGCUUUCUGUGAUCACUAUCCAGGUAAGUGGUGCAAAUUACACUUAUUGGGCUUAUAUUCCUAAUACCCCCUUAAAUAGAAUGGUCACAUGGGAAGAUCCCAAUAUCCCUAUAUAUGUUAAUGAUUCCAAUUGGAUGCCCAGACCAUUUGAUGUUCGGGGCCCCUUUAAACCAGAGUAAGAAGGAAAAAUUCUGACAAUUAUACUGCAGGAGCAGACGGCCUGCCUAUCUGCACAGGGCAUGGAUCUCAUUGUUUAAAAUUAAGCCCUCAAGCUUGGCUAUCAAUAAUAUGCAACACCACCAAAGGUGAUCGCAAAACUCCCAAACAGUUAUUCCUGUUAAGUCUGGAAGGAUUUAAAGAGGAACACAAAGAUAAUCAAACUUCACCUCCUGACUUAUCCCCAUGUCAGGUCCCUAUUUCUACUCAUUUUGAUAACUGGGUGCACUGGACCUAAUGUAGAGGUGAGGAGGCAUGAGUUUUUCUUAAUACUUCCUAUGAAAGCAUCAUUGAUUGGAGCCCUAUUGGGUCAACUCAGGUCAAAGGAUUUAGGACUGACUUAUGGUGAAACAAAGAAAACCAAACCAUUCAUACUCACUUGGGCCAAUCAUUCCUUAAUUUGGCAUGGUGGUGGCUUCGCCAUGCCCAGUCUGCACUUGUUCGGAUGGCCAAUACAGUCCUAUUUAUGGAAUGUAGGUGCCUCCCUGAAACCUUUAAAAGCUUGGAAAGGGCAUAUUUGGAUCAAGAGAACUUCCAAUGAUACACAUCUUAGUUUUACUAUAAAUGAAACUGCUUUUGUUCAAACUUGUGUCUGUUCACCUUUUUUGUUUAUGAUGGGCCCGGCAGAAUGGAAGGACACCACUGGUCUGGUAUUUUGUCUCAAUUGUUCUUUUUAUACUUGCCUUAAUAAUUAUAUCCCAUUCAACAUGUGUAGUCAUAGUUUGUACAUUCUGCAAGAAAGAACUAGGGUCUGGCUGCCUGUACAGCUCAACUGGCCAUGGCAAGAUUCACCUGCAAUGAUGAUGCUACAACAAAUUAAAAGACACUUGUCAAAAUGAGUAAAAAGAUUCAUUGGACUUGUCAUUGCCACUGUUUUGGGAAUCAUUGCUGUGACUGCCACUGCCACUGCUGCUGGAGUUGCUUUACAACAGGCUAUUCAGACAACAAACUUUGUUCAGGAUUGGCAUAAGGACUCUGAGAAAUUAUGGUCCUUGCAAAGACAGAUUGACAGUGAUCUUUCUAGCCAAUUAGUUGAUUUACAAUAAUCUGUAAUAAUGAUGGGUGAUCAGAUUGUGAGCCUUGGAAGGCAGAUCCAGCUUAAAUGUGAUUGGAAUACCAGUACAUUCUGGGUAACUCCUAUUCUCUAUAAUGAAACUGUUUUCCCUUCAGAGACAGUAUGAAAACAUCUGCUAAACCAUGGUAAUAUAUCUUCUGAGAUAUUGAAUUUACAAAAUCAAAUAACUGAGACCUAUCAAAAACAGCUAGAAUCUCUCAACGGUUUGAAUCUCAUACAGGGAAUGAUGGAUGGGCUAAGUAAAAUGAAUCCAAUAUCACAAAUCAAAACCCUCUUGGGGUCCUUAGUGGGAUUAUUGUUCUUUGUUAUAUGUAUGUGCCUUUUCUUUUGUUUAGUAUGGCGAAGAUUACAACGAUCCCAAGGAGUAACUAAUCAACAGUCCGCUGUAUUCUCACUUAUGUUCCAUAACAUGAAGCAAAAACAAAAGGGGGAAGUGUAGAGAAGAAUGUUGUCCCAGAGCAAGUUGAACUUAGAAUGAACUAUGGGGAAACAUUCCCAGGAAGAGCAGAUGUUCUCUCACAUGCGAGAUAACAUCCAGGGAGCAUUGCAUGCGAUGCUCCCUCUGUUCCAGGAACCUUGACAUCCAAGGGUGUGAGUAUUUUGCUCUGGGAAAGCUCAAGAUUAGAUAUGAAAGCUUUCAAGAUGUUAUUCUUAAAAAACAGCUUCUAGGCCUUGGUUGUAAUCCCUCACAUUUCUCACACUCUCAUUGUGCACUGCUUCAAUAAAAGACAUGGGCAACAGAGGCAAGCUGCUGUUUUCCCUUGUGAGCUGCAGCCCUCUGCUCAUCCACUUAACUGUA